rnacentral:rRNA from 1 species
CAGAGGUCUCAACCGUUGUUCGGAUUCAUUGGGCGUAAAGGGUGCGUAGGCGGCGGAGUAAGUCAGGUGUGGAAUCUCGGGGCUCAACCCCGAAACUGCACUUGAUACUGCUUCGCUCGAGUACUGGAGAGGAGACUGGAAUUUACGGUGUAGCAGUGAAAUGCGUAGAUAUCGUAAGGAAGACCAGUGGCGAAGGCGAGUCUCUGGACAGUUACUGACGCUGAGGCACGAAGGCCAGGGGAGCAAACGGGAUUAGAUACCCCGGUAGUCCUGGCAGUAAACGGUGCACGUUUGGUGUGGGAGGAUUCGACCCCUUCCGUGCCGGAGCUAACGCGUUAAACGUGCCGCCUGGGAAGUACGGUCGCAAGAUUA